GGUUUCAUGGUGUAGUUGGUUAUCACGUGUGCUUCACAAUGCGUAAAGCGGCGUCGCACAAGGUCUCCGGUUCGAGCCCGGGUGAAACCA